rnacentral:rRNA from 1 species
AUCAACUUUCGAUGGUAGGAUAGAGGCCUACCAUGGUGGUAACGGGUAACGGGGUGUUAGGGCACGACACCGGAGAGGGAGCCUGAGAAACGGCUACCACAUCCAAGGAUGGCAGCAGGCGCGCAAAUUACCCAAUCCCGACACGGGGAGGUAGUGACAAUAAAUAACAAUACAGGGUUCUUUCGGAUCUUGUAAUUGGAAUGAGUACAAUUUAAAUCUCUUAACGAGGAACAAUUGGAGGGCAAGUCUGGUGCCAGCAGCCGCGGUAAUUCCAGCUCCAAUAGCGUAUAUUAAAGUUGCUGCAGUUAAAAAGCUCGUAGUUGAAUUUCGGGACCAAUAUGUCGGUCGUGCUUCGGUACGUACUGUCAUAAUUGGUUUCUCCCUUCUGAAGAACCUUGAUGUCAUUAAUUUGGUGUCUUGGGGAAUCAGGACUGUUACUUUGAAAAAAUUAGAGUGUUUAAAGCAGGCUCGCGCUUGAAUACAUUAGCAUGGAAUAAUGAAAUAGGACGUUUGAUUCUAUUUUGUUGGUUUCUAGGAUCGACGUAAUGAUUAAUAGGGAUAGUUGGGGGCAUUAGUAUUCAAUUGUCAGAGGUGAAAUUCUUGGAUUUAUUGAAGACUAACUACUGCGAAAGCAUUUGCCAAGGAUGUUUUCAUUAAUCAAGAACGAAAGUUAGGGGAUCGAAGACGAUCAGAUACCGUCGUAGUCUUAACCAUAAACUAUGCCGACUAGGGAUCGGAUGAUGUUAAUUUUUUAAUGACUCAUUCGGCGCCUUACGGGAAACCAAAGUGUUUGGGUUC